AGGGCCGGAAGCCCGGCUCCCGACUCCGCUUCGUCCCCACAACCUCCGGCCGCCUGAAGUCCUGAGGGGCCGUGGCCCUGGGUCGUCUCCCCUGUUCCCAGCCUCCAGUCGCAGCUGGCGGAGAGAAGUUCCCGAGGCCCCCCCGACUUGCAAGGUCCCUUGCCCCGCCCAGAGCUGAGCCUUCCGAGGAUCUGAGGACCGAGUCCAGCCCAGCUCCCAGGAGGGGCCGGGAUCCUGGGGCAGGGAAUAAGGGGCAGGGGCUGGCUCUAAAGUCGGGCGGGAGAGGGGCACUAACCGAGAUGGGGGCUGAGCCUCCGGUCUGGGAGCUUCGGGAGGCGCGUGGCGGGAUGGAAAACAUUCCUGAGACCGUUGGAUUGGAUUUCCGAAUUUGGGAGGCUAGGACUCCGGCUACGGUGGCUCUGCUCUUGGGAUGAGAGGACUGGGCCCAGCUUGCGAGGAAUCAUGAAGUGGACACAGGGUGGGAACGUGAAUUUUAAUGAGGGGGCAGACCGAGGAGGUGGUGGCUGCCCGGAGAUCAGGGCCAGGCUGUGCUAGAUGGCGCCUGGAAGGGGGGUCACCCAAGUCUCCCUGCUGUCAUUUCAGGAGGCCGACCCAAGUCUCCCUGCUGUCAUUUCAGGAGGCCGAAUUUUUUCCCAAUCCCAGAGAAGGUGUCAGAGGCCUGGAGCUUCCCUUUCCAUCUCCAGGGCUACUGAGAAAAUGUUGGACAGAGGAAGGAAGGCAGGGCAGGGCCAGGCUGCAGCUAGCAUCUGGACUGUUGGCUAAUGCUGGUGAUGGCGCAGAAGACCCUUGCCCCCUUUUACAGCUUCUCCCCUAGAAGCCUGGCCCAGAUGCCUGAAUUCCCACCUUUCAUGCACUUAGCCCUGGGGCUUGCAGUUUUGCCAGGUCCUUACUGCCUCCUCCCUCCUGUGGCCUGCCCGGAGGGGCACACAAGCAAAGCCAGUGCCUCUGUGGACAGGCAGCUUAAGACAUUAGGAGACAAAUGAAGGAAGGAGGCAAAACUUCCAAGGCCGGACUAUCUCCUCUGGACCAGAGUUUCGGCCUGCUGGGAAUGGAGUCACCAGCCCCGGGGGGGCUGACAGGUGGCUCCCGCCUACAGAGCUGUAACUCAUCCCUGCUGCUGAACAGGAAAGGGCCUGCCUUACCCAGAUCCCAUCCUCCGGAAAGGGUUAGUCAGGCAAGUGUGCUGAGAGGCCCCUGGGAACCUCGUCUCGAUUAACCCAUCAGAAAGCAGCCCAUCCUUUGCACCCAGCUCUCAGAUGGAAAAGUGAAGCCCAGAAGGAAGGGACCUGACACGGAGGCUUCCUUGGUAGCAUUUCAGUCUCAAGGGAAGAACUGUGGGCCUCCCCUGGAGCACUGGUGAAGUAAGGGGUUGGUUUGGAUAUUGUCUCCUGACUGGGAUAUGGGCAGGACUGACAGGGAGCUGGAGUCCUAACGAAGCCUGGGCUAGGUGCAGGAAGAACCAACCCAGUGGUCUCCUGACAUCUCCCACGCCCCCACCGCAGCUGGGUCACCUCCAGAAUACGGAGGAGAGAGCUGGAGGUGGAGGAACUAAGGACCUUCUUUGCCAGGUGGGGACUUAAAGCAUACAGUGAAGUUGUUCUCUGAAGUUCCUCAUCUGCCUUAAGUCUGGACCCACCAAAGAAGAAAACAAUGACCACUGGUCCCUUCCCGGAGUUUUCUCUGACUGAACUGCUGUCACAGGAAGAAAGACUGAAGCCUGCUCACAUACCUGGACAGAUUUUGCAAACCGUUGUCUGCUCUGUGAGCCCAACAGACUUUGUCCCAGGCCACUGUAUGUUCUUCAAGCCCACUGAAUUCCCCUGAAAAUCAUUUACUAGCCCCCUGAAAUUACCCACACUUCCCCAUUGCUCAUCUGUACCCCAUUUCGUGGUGGGGCAGUCACUCUGAUUUCCCCUUGCAUGCUAAUGAAUGUGUAUUCCAUUUCUAUUCUGCUUUCAUGAGCUGACUUUUCAGUGAACCUUCAGAGGGUAAAGGGGAAGUUUUCCCUUGGCCCCUGCACCGCAAUUGGUAAGGUCCAAAAUGUUAAAUGGAAAAUUCCAGAAAUAGCUGGUCGUGAUGGCUCCUGCCUGUAAUCCCAGCACUUUGGGAGGCCGAGGUAGGUGGAUAGCUUGAAGUCAGGAGUUCGAGACCAGCCUGGCCAACAUGGUGAAACCCUGUCUGUACUAAAAGUACCAAAAUUAGCUGGGCGUGGUGGCGCACGCCUGUAGUCCCUGCUACUUGGGAGGCUGAGGCAGGAGAAUCACUUGAACCUGGGAGGCAGAGGUUGCAGUGAGCAGAGAUCGCACCACCACUCCAGCCUGGAUGACAGAGUAAGACUCCGUCUCAAAAAAAA
rnacentral:lncRNA from 1 species